UGGGAGGGCUGUAGCCAUAUCAGCAGGCUCACAGGUCAAGGGCUUCCUACAGGCUUCUGUCCUCUCAGUCCACAGCUUACUCUGUGCCAUAAAGCACAGGUACUCAGAGGCACACUGGUCCUCUUCAUUUCAGCACCCUGCAGCAGCAUGGAGAUACCAGUACUUACCCUUUUCCAGAUCUGUGGGCUGGAAGCACCUGCUUGAUUCUGCUGCUAUAGAAGAGUUUUAAAUACCCGUGCAUAUCCAGAGCAAAAAGACUGCAGUACAAAAACAACACAGUGGUUCAGAGUCUGUUCCCUGCUGCUCCAUAAAAGCACACAGGAGAAGGACGCAAUGGGGGUUUUCACCCUCCCAAACCACAAGUUCAGUGCCUGGUCUGGAGUGGAUGUGCUGUUUUCAGCUUCUCUUGGCAGCCCAGCCAGAGGACGGGCCGUCUCAUGCCCUGCAGCCCUGGAGAAGCCUUCACUAAAUGACAGCCUCUGCAAUCCCUUCCCCAUCCUGGGGGACUGAGCAGUGGGUCUACCUGCCGGCCAAAACAUGUGGCGUGCUCGUGUCUGACAUGGUCCGACCUCGAACGUGAAUCCCCGCAGUGACAACAGGGACUGCAUGAACGCAAAUGGCUACAUGAGGUUUCAGCUCACAGCUCCGCAGAUAGCACAGUGGCAACUGCAGAGGCAGCCCUCCCUCUUGUCCCAGACAGCAGCGAGGGCCCUCCUCUUGCAUUAUCAUCUCUGCUGCACUACACCCAGCCCAGUCCGAGAGCAGCCCUGGGCCAGCACGCUGGGAAUGAAGUAGAAGACUACUGUGGCUCUGCUAUAUGGCAUUGAAUAAAAAGCCCAAAUAGCUCAUUUCUUUCACGAGGACCAGCUCUGUAAGGGUGAGACAAGGCAGAAAAGGGAGACGGGGUGUGAAGGGAAGGAUAUUACUGACUCUUGCCUCUGCCUGUCACCAAAGGCACUCUCGUAGCUUCCAGCAGCGAGCACAGAGGAAACGCGGGUAAGCAGGGAACAAGUAGCUUAAUAAAAACAAACAUAUGACAAAACCAGCAAAAUAAAUACGCUCUUAGGAUCAGUUCUACAAAGGAACCAGAUGGCACUAAAUACACCUCCUGCACUAAAAAAAGACCCGCUGUUUCUUGCAAUCUGAUAAGGUCCCACAGCCCUAAUCUUGUCAUACUUUCAAUGCCUUAAAAGAGAAAAGAAAAAAAUAAACCAGAAAAGCAACCAUGUCUGGGGGGAAAAGUGCUCUUACCAAACAAAAAAUUUACUCUGAGCGUGAACUGAGAUUGAAAGCUGAUAUUUUCCAGGAGGAUCAAGAAUAUCAGGCAACUAUUUCACACAGAAACAUUGCCUUAAGCCCUGUCACGAAGAUCCAGAUCGAGAGAGAGUGAGCAAGUGCAAGAAAGACCUGAUUCCUUUCUUGACUAACGUCGAGGUCAUGCCAAGGGUGACAGUGCAACAAAGCUAAGCAGACGCCUGCCCAUGACCCCAGCAGGGCUGGUAACUGACCCGACACAGAAACGUCAACAGUGCUUUACAUGAACAAAACUGUCCUUGAGGGCUGACAUGGCCCCACAUCAUAUAUGAAGGCCAUUGACUUUGUUUUCAUUGCUUGCAACAUCCAUUUCAAUGUGGCUGAAAGCAGGGUUGUCAGUUCCUUCAUCUGCCACGGUGAACGGCUUAUGGCUCAACACUUCAACUUUCUCUGGCUAGAAAACAAAAGACAAAAGCCAUGCUGUGAAGUGGAAGAAACAGUCUUCCUCUCUUUGACCUGCAUGCAAGUGGAGUCAGCCCUGACAUACAGGAUGCCUUGCAGGAAAACACGUCUUGGUUGCUGACAGAGCAUGUUCAUUGCUGGUAUUUUUCUAGGGGCAGGGGAAGUUUCUUAUUGCAUAAGGUACUAAUUGUGUAAAAUGCUCUUGUCACAUAAAAUCUUCUUGUCCUGCAAAGUGUCUAUAAAGUAUUUUGGGGUGUGCAAA